GUACGCGAGCUGGGUUUAGAACGUCGUGAGACAGUUCGGUCCCUAUCUGCCGUGGGCGCUGGAGAAUUGAGGGGGGCUGCUCCUAGUACGAGAGGACCGGAGUGGACGCAUCACUGGUGUUCGGGUUGUCAUGCCAAUGGCACUGCCCGGUAGCUAAAUGCGGAAGAGAUAAGUGCUGAAAGCAUCUAAGCACGAAACUUGCCCCGAGAUGAGUUCUCCCUGAGACUUUAAGUCUCCUGAAGGAACGUUGAAGACGACGACGUUGAUAGGUCGGGUGUGUAAGCGCAGCGAUGCGUUGAGCUAACCGAUACUAAUGAACCGUGAGGCUUAACCUUACAACGCCGAAG
rnacentral:rRNA from 1 species